CAGGAUGAACGCUAGCUACAGGCUUAACACAUGCAAGUCGAGGGGUAGCAGGAUCUAGCAAUAGAUUGCUGACGACCGGCGCACGGGUGAGUAACACGUAUCCAACCUUCCGUUUACUCGGGGAUAGCCUUUCGAAAGAAAGAUUAAUACCCGAUAGUAUGUUUUUCCCGCAUGGGAGAACCAUUAAAGUUUUUCGGUAAUCGAUGGGGAUGCGUUCCAUUAGGCAGUUGGUGAGGUAACGGCUCACCAAACCUUCGAUGGAUAGGGGUUCUGAGAGGAAGGUCCCCCACAUUGGAACUGAGACACGGUCCAAACUCCUACGGGAGGCAGCAGUGAGGAAUAUUGGUCAAUGGACGAGAGUCUGAACCAGCCAAGUAGCCGUGAAGGAUGACUGCCCUAUGGGUUGUAAACUUCUUUUAUAUGGGAAUAAAGGAGCCUACGUGUAGGUUUUUGUAUGUACCAUACGAAUAAGGAUCGGCUAACUCCGUGCCAGCCGCCGC
rnacentral:rRNA from 1 species